UCCUUUUCCUCCUCCUCUCUCUCCCUUGCUGCGCCGCGGGCUCUCCUCCUCUCUCUCUCUCGUGCCGCCCCACUCCUCCUUCUCCCCAUGCUAGCCCCUCCACCUGCCAUCUGCAGCGACAUAGGGGCGGUCAGAUCGUUGGGGUGAGCAGGCGGCCAUCUCUGGUGUGUCCUAUGGAGGAGCGGGGGUGGGUGAGGAUGAUGGUGAUGGCGACCAGAGGCCCAUGGCAGUGGGAUGGAGGAAAGAUGCAGAAGGCCGGCAAUAGGCGAGCCAUGAGCCAAGGCACGGCGUUCCUUCUCUGCUGAGGAUUUGAGGAUUGCUCAGGUUUGGAGCAGCAAACCAUGAAGAUAUGGGGUUGCACGGGAAGCCACCAUGAUUCGCAGUUUGAAUUGUCCCUGCAGCAGAUUGGGGUGGAUAUGCUCGGCACCGGCGCACCACCCAGCAUCCCUAGGCAACAAAAGGAUGAUGGGGAGACCAAGCGAAGUAUUCAUGAUGCUCUGUGUGUUGCAAGGAAUCUGAUCAUCAACAACUCAAUUGUGUAUGGUGGUGGCUCAGCAGAAAUAUCUUGCUCAAUUGUUGUUGAAGCUGCAGCGGAUCGGCAUCCUGAAGUUGAGCAGUACGCAAUCAGGGUGUUUCCUGAUGCUUUGGAUGCUAUUUCCACUAGCUUUACCUGAAAACAGUGGUGGCGCUGGUCGGUCGUCGCCUCUCCACCGGCUAUUGUUUGGCGGCGUCAAGCAGAACGCCGAGGAUGCGCCGCUCUGUCUCAGGGCUCAACGCCCUCUUGGACGCAGAGGUUGGCAGGUUCUCGCUCUUCACCGGGGCUCCGACGGUCGUGCUUGGUGUGGCAGCGCUAGACAGCGGCAAGAAGGAAGAGCAUGGGCAGCCCGCGAUGCCAGGCCCCUGGCCCUCCUCCCUCAAGCUCAAGGCGGCGAUGAGAUGGUUGGAAUGGUGCUGCUGCUCCGUAGGUACUAGCUUCUGCAGUGUCUCUUGCUCCCUCAAUUUCCUUGCCUCCUCUUGAAUUCAAUGGACGCAGAACAUGCUUUGACAAAUUGGGCUGUGUGCACCCUGUUUGUGUGACGGCAAGAAGGGAGAAGCAAGAGAUAUAUUAUUUUUGCUUCGGUUAGUAAAGGAAUAAUGAAGUGGUAUUUAUUCGGUUAUCACCCGUUCAAUAUUUUGAAUUGUGCUUAUGCUUAUUGCAGCCAGGUGAUUAGGGUGAAUUGAUUGCUCUUGGCUCCCAAAUACUUCUAUCAAUGGCUCAUGUUCAAAAUACAAAUAGGAUAUGUCACUGCAUCUUAUUCCCAAAGAAGUGUUGUGCUCUCCUUUGUUGUGAGCUCGUCACCUGUUGCGCUCGCGUCUAUGCCGUUCUUGCGCCGGUGCUUACCAUCUCUUUAAGGUGUAUUAUGAAUGAGUUGCAGUAAUACUCUUAUGAUUAUAAUGCAUGAAAAUCUGUGUCAACAUAAGUGUACUGGUGACUUGACUUCGGACUGUAAUUUAGUCUCUGUUAUUGUUACUUGUGCCCAAGUAGCCACAUUUCUGCUGACCGAGCAUUCUGUCUGUAGUACCGAAAAAUGCCCAGAACAUUAUGACUGGGUAAACAUUAUUUAUUUGUAUGUGAAAAUUUGGGUAAAGCUUGUGGCUCCUGAAUGGAAAGGAAGUAUGGGUCAAGAAAACCUAGGCUGGUUGAGAAAAUACACGAGUAGACAGUCAUGGAUUACAUGGCCUAAUUUGCUAAAUGAACAAUGGUCGAAGAAACGGUUGACAUGCGCAUCCUUUUUUUUGUAAACUGCAGGCCUUGAUGGAUGUGUCAGUUCAGUUUUCUUCAUUUUAGUUUUUUGUUUCUGCAGCGAGAUCUUAUGCAGGAUAAGUCAGUGAUAGUAGUAUGGGAUAAUCACUUUUGUAGGUUCAGGGAAUCAGGUUUUAUGCUCGGUGGGGAUGUUGUUUGUCUACUUUUAUCUUAUGCAAAAUAAGGUUGGGAUUAUAUUAUGGGGCAAUUUGUUUUUGUAGGUUCAGCAAUCAGUUUUUGGGAUAAUCAGUUUUUUUGUGGCAUAACUAAUUGUGAACUGUAUCAGUGUAGAUUUAGUUUUUCCUGAGUUUUGUGUAGCCUGUCAUCUUUGCUUUUCUGUGUUUUCUCCAUUUUAUUUUCAGUUUUGCUGCCAGAUAGGCAAUGAGUCAGUAGAUCAUGUUUUCACCUUGUUUUAUUCAGGCAUAUUUUAGUUUUAAAUAUUCCCCAGUGAUAUUCAUUCGUUCAGAUAAAACUUUUUAGACUCUUAACGCAAAUGUACAGGGGUAUAGUUGGGGGAGGGGUUACAGACAAAUCUCCAGACUGAAACUUCUUUUGUCCAGCGUAAUGAGGCUUUUUUAGCCCUCCUUGGUCCGUAAUGCUUCAACUUUUUUCUGUCUACUUGCAGUUUCCAAUCGCUGCAUCUUUUUACCUCCUACUUCAUGAUGUGUGUGGUGUAUUACUCAGCAUGCAGAUAUACUCAGGGGCAGGCAGGGAUGCGUUCAGUGUGUACUCCCUCUUAUUUUCUUUCUUUGUAUAGGAGUAUUUCAUUUGUAUCAGUUUAUCUUAUUUUCUUUUUUUUAUUGGAUUAUUCGUUGUUCUUCUAUGGGCCGUCAAUGGCAUAAAAUGGGUUCUGUAAACUUCAUUUUUUUAUAAUCAUUUAAUUAUUUAUCAAGCAGUUGCCACUGUAAAAUAUUAUCAUCAGGCCAUUGUUACCCUCAACAUUAACUUUUUGCCUGAAGAGCUAUGUGAUACAGAAAAGAGCCUUUCCUUUCAGGCACUGCAAAGGAGAGUAUGAUACCAGGAUCAACUAGCUAGGCAAGGCUUUUUGCUAAGGUUAAAUAAGAAGAGAUUGCACUUUUAAGAAGACCUCUUGUUGACUAUUCAGUGAAGGUACCAUGCAUACUGCAUACAAAAUAUUAUAUUACCUUUUUUACCCCCUUCCACGUGCUCUGUUUUCACUUUCGGUAUGCAUCCACAAAAUCUAACUGGACUCUCUUGGUUUGAUGUCUUGUAUUUCGAAGCCAAAAUACUUAAUGAGAAACAUAUUAUGGAAAAGCGCAUUGCAUAUAUGCGAAUGGUAAGUAUCUUUAUCUUACCAGGUUAAAAUACUAUCUUGGAGUACACCAGACUAAUUGUAUAACACAUUGUUUUCAGGCAUUUGAUCACGAGCAACAAGAUUUGGUUGAUGUUGCAUCAAAAUCUUUAGCCUAUAGACAAGACAUAAUCCCAACAUGUCAAGAUAUUGUGUUCUCUCUAUUGAUUUUGACAUCACUUCAUAAUAUCGGUUGUCAGCCUGUUCUUCUCACAUUAAAACAUCAUCGUUCAGUUAUAUGUACUAAUUAGUCGCA